CCGAGAGUAUCACAGGGAUAACGCAACCAAAUGUAGCGAUAAUACCUGCCAUAAAAUAUAGUAGCUAUUUGAAUGCCUACUAUAGCUGCCGCAAGGCACGAUAAACCAUACCAGGUCUCUCGGACGUGUUUCUUAUCUAUUAGUUUGUUGGUUGGGUAAGUGCCAACCAAGACAGUUAUGGGUACGGGGAAUCAGUGUUCGGUUCCGGAGAGGGAGCCUUAAAAAUAGCUACCAUAUCCAAGGAUAGCAGCAGGCGCGAAAAUUACUCACUUCUAAUACCUAAGAGAAGUAGUGACGAGAUAUAACAACUUCCCUUAAGGGAAGGUACCACCACCCGGUGGUUCGGAAUGGUUUCAAUGUAAACUGUUGUGAGAGUAUCAAUUAGAGGAAAAGUCUGGUGCCAGCACCCGCGGUAAUUCCAGCUCUAAGAGUGUAUACUAAUACUGCUGUAGUUAAAUCGUUCGUAGUCCACAUGUUCAAAAGUGAUGUUUCUUGCUCGUGGACUUUCAAACCUAACCGCUC
rnacentral:rRNA from 1 species